GACAGAGGUGCCAAGCGUUAGGCGGAAUCACUGGGCUUAAAGCGUGUGUAGGCGGAUCGUUAAGUGCCUUGUGAAUCCCACGGCUUAACCGUGGAACUGCUCGGCAUACUGGCGGUCUUGAGCCAGCUAGGGGCUACCGGAACAAAUGGUGGAGCGGUGAAAUGCGUAGAUAUCAUUUGGAACGCCAAUGGUGAAAACAGGUAGCUGGGCUGUGCUGACGCUGAGACACGAAAGCCAGGGGAGCGAACGGG
rnacentral:rRNA from 1 species